rnacentral:lncRNA from 1 species
AAAGCUGAGCAUAAAAAUUAUGAAUAAUAAAAUCUCUCGGGAGCUCAUGGCUGGGGCGUGAGUAUAACAUUUACUUCAGACUUCCCCAAGUUUGAGAGAUAAUUUCUCCUUCACGAGGCCAAAAAUUAUAGAUAAAACUUUGAUCUCGAUGAACAAGAUGCAUAGGACAAUAUUUUUUGUGAAAUUCCAAUUGCAAUCAAUUCCAGUUCCAAGAUCAUGUAUCAUCACAUAGCCUAUACCAUGUCAAUGCUUUUACCCCCAAAGUUAAGAGAAAACCUUCUUCUUGGUUUCAUCUCUGGAUAAACCUGCAAGCUUAAAUAAUGGACAAACUUCAUCCACAUAGAUUAUGUGCAUAUCAGGAUAUUCUGUUCCAUCUCCUGGAUAAGGAUUAGCUAGCAGUUUUUCUAUCAUACCUGAAGGAAUUUCAUAAUAAACAUUUUCAGUAGGUUCAGUAGGUUGAGGGAUAACUCUUUAUGUUUCGGUUCAUGGUGAAGAUACCCCGAACAAACCCCAGAAAUGAUUACCGU